UCCGCUUUACAGCGGCAGUUUGUUCCGAGUCCCCGACUUUACUCGCUGGUAACAGAACAUGAGGGUUGCGCUCGUUGCGGGACUUAACCCAACAUUUCACAACACGAGCUGACGACAGCCAUGCACCACCUGUGCAACACCCUCGAAGGAAACGUAUCUCUACGUCGUGCAGUUGCAUGUCAAGCCCUGGUAAGGUUCUUCGCGUUGCAUCGAAUUAAGCCAUAUGCUCCACCGCUUGUGCGGGCCCCCGCCAAUUCCUUUGAGUUUUAAUCUUGCGAUCGUAGUUCCCAGGCGGUUCACUUAAUGCGUUAGCUGCGGCACCGAGGCAAAGCCCCGACACCUAGUGAACAUCGUUUAUGGCUAAGACUAC
rnacentral:misc_RNA from 1 species